rnacentral:rRNA from 1 species
UGGGGAAUCUUGCACAAUGGGGGAAACCCUGAUGCAGCGACGCCGCGUGAACGAUGAAGCCCUUCGGGGUGUAAAGUUCUUUCGGCAGGAACGAUAAUGACGGUACCUGAAGAAGAAGCUGCGGCUAACUACGUGCCAGCAGCCGCGGUAAUACGUAGGCAGCAAACGUUGUUCGGAGUUACUGGGCGUAAAGGGCGCGUAGGCGGCCCUCUAAGUCAGACGUGAAAUCCCCCGGCUUAACCUGGGAACUGCGUCUGAUACUGGAGGGCUUGAGUAUGGGAGAGGGAUGUAGAAUUCCAGGUGUAGCGGUGAAAUGCGUAGAUAUCAAGAGGAACACCUGAGGUGAAGACGGGUUGCUGGGCUGACACUGACGCUGAGGCGCGAAAGCCAGGGGAGCAAACGGGAUUAGAUACCCACGUAGUCCCUGAGCGGGCUGGCAAGGCGCAU